ACCAAAUGGGAUUGUACUCAAAUCUCAGAUAAACGGCGCCAGGACGUUUGUACUCUUUACAAAGCCGUGUAAAAUUGUAAAUCCCUUUUCGAAUAGCGCUGUUCUUGGUUAUUUGUAUUAUAAAUAAAGCGGCGUGCUUUGAAAUUCAUGUUCCAAUUGGGCUUUGACAUAAAUAUUUGUCAACAUGCGCUUUAAGAAUAUUCAUGACCACUAACCAUCAGGAGAGCCAUAUGCGUCUACCUAUGAAAGCAAUGAAAAAUAAGAAACUGAAAUUUUUAAGUACAGUUUGCGGAGCUUCUGUUCACUAGAUUCGGCCGACGUGUGAUAAAAUCACCGAGUCCUUAUUUAAGUCUCGGUUGGGUUACCCAUUGUGCUGUUUAAGCGAUGGCUAAGUGGCGAUUAGGGUGACGUCUCCUUCAGGUGAAGAUGGCAUCUACAAAUAAACGAAACGCUUUCGAGCGCUUUGGGCUUUUGAUGCGGUGUGAAGGGGAACGUCAAAAAUUAUUCAUUUUGUGAUUAAAUAUAAGAAAAUUGUGAUUAAAUAAAAUAAAAUAUAAUGUUGAGAAAUA